CAGCAGCCGCGGGAAUACAGAGGGUGCGAGCGUUAAUCGGAUUUACUGGGCGUAAAGCGUGCGUAGGCGGUUCGUUAAGUCUGUUGUGAAAGCCCCGGGCUCAACCUGGGAAUGGCAAUGGAUACUGGCGAGCUAGAGUGUGGAAGAGGGUUGUGGAAUUCCCAGUGUAGAGGUGAAAUUCGUAGAUAUUGGGAAGAACACCGGUGGCGAAGGCGGCAACCUGGUCCAUGACUGACGCUGAGGCGCGAAAGCGUGGGGAGCAAACAGGAUUAGAUACCCGGGUAGUCCCUGUCUCUUAUAA
rnacentral:rRNA from 1 species